rnacentral:rRNA from 1 species
UACGUAGGGUGCGAGCGUUGUCCGGAAUUAUUGGGCGUAAAGAGCUCGUAGGCGGUGUGUCACGUCGGCCGUGAAAACCUGGGGCUUAACUCUGGGCGUGCGGUCGAUACGGGCAUCACUAGAGUUCGGCAGGGGAGACUGGAAUUCCUGGUGUAGCGGUGAAAUGCGCAGAUAUCGGGAAGAACACCCGUGGCGAAGGCGGUUCUCUGGGACGGUACUGACGCUGAGACGCGAAAGCGUGGGGAGCGAACAGG